rnacentral:rRNA from 1 species
UGGGGGAUAUUGCACAAUGGACGCAAGCCUGAUGCAGCGACGCCGCGUGGGGGAUGAAGGCCUUCGGGUUGUAAACUUCUUUUGCUCUGAACAAGGCGCACUUUGGGGUGUGUUGAGUGUAGGGGUUGAUUAGCGCCGGCUAACUACGUGCCAGCAGCCGCGGUAAUACGUAGGGCGCGAGCGUUGUCCGGAAUUAUUGGGCGUAAAGGGCUUGUAGGUGGCUGGUUGCGUCUGUCGUGAAAGCUCAUGGCUUAACUGUGGGUUUGCGGUGGGUACGGGCUGGCUUGAGUGCAGUAGGGGAGGCUGGAAUUCCUGGUGUAGCGGUGGAAUGCGCAGAUAUCAGGAGGAAUACCGGUGGCGAAGGCGGGUCUCUGGGCUGUUACUGACACUGAGGAGCGAAAGCAUGGGGAGCGAACAGG